rnacentral:rRNA from 1 species
CGCCUGUUUAUCAAAAACAUGUCUUUUUGUUAAUUAUUUAAGGUUUGGCCUGCUCCAUGAGUGAAAUUAAAUAGCCGCAGUAUUUUGACUGUGCAAAGGUAGCAUAAUCAUUAGUUUUUUAAUUGAAAGCUGGAAUGAAGGGUCGGAUGAGAAAGUCUCUGUCUCAGUAGUAUUUUAUUUGAAUUUUAUUUUUAAGUUAAAAAGCUUAAAUUUUAUAGAAAGACGAGAAGACCCUAUAGAGUUUAAUAGAUUUAUACUACAAUUAUUUAUGGCUAUUAGUUUAAUUGCUUUAUAAUUUAUUUGGUUGGGGUGACUUAAGAAUUAGAUUAACUUCUUAGUGUAUUUACAUUGAUUAAUGAAUAGUUGAUCCUUUAGUUAGGAUUAAAAGAAUAAAUUACCUUAGGGAUAACAGCGUAAUCUUUUUAGAGAGUUCUUAUCGAUAAAAGGGAUUGCGACCUCGAUGUUGGAUUAAAGUUAAAUUUUGGCGCAAAAGCUUGAAAUUUG